GAUGAACGCUGGCGGCGUGCCUAAUACAUGCAAGUCGAGCGAACAGACGAGGAGCUUGCUCCUCUGACGUUAGCGGCGGACGGGUGAGUAACACGUGGAUAACCUACCUAUAAGACUGGGAUAACUUCGGGAAACCGGAGCUAAUACCGGAUAAUAUAUUGAACCGCAUGGUUCAAUAGUGAAAGACGGUUUUGCUGUCACUUAUAGAUGGAUCCGCGCCGAAUUAGCUAGUUGGUAAGGUAACGGCUUACCAAGGCAACGAUGCGUAGCCGACCUGAGAGGGUGAUCGGCCACAAUGGAACUGAGACACGGUCCAGACUCCUACGGGAGGCAGCAGUAGGGAAUCUUCCGGAAUGGGCGAAAGCCUGACGGAGCAACGCCGCGUGAGUGAUGAAGGUCUUCGGAUCGUAAAACUCUGUUAUUAGGGAAGAACAAAUGUGUAAGUAACUAUGCACGUCUUGACGGUACCUAAUCAGAAAGCCACGGCUAACUACGUG
rnacentral:rRNA from 1 species